GUGAAGGUCAAGGGGCGACCUGAGGGG
rnacentral:sRNA from 1 species